rnacentral:rRNA from 1 species
ACGGAGGAUGCGAGCGUUAUCCGGAUUUAUUGGGUUUAAAGGGUGCGUAGGCGGAAAAAUAAGUCAGUGGUGAAAACCUUCAGCUUAACUGGAGACUUGCCAUUGAUACUGUUAUUCUUGAGUAUAGUUAAGGUAGGCGGAAUGUGUAAUGUGAGGGUGAAGUAUGUAGAUAUUACGAGGAAGCCGAAUGGCGAGGGCGGCUUACUGGACUAGUUCUGACGCUAAUCCGCGCGAGUGUGGGGAGGAAAGAG